rnacentral:pre_miRNA from 1 species
AGCUUUCUGAAUCCGUGUAGAGAAUUCGUCAGACACCAACCCAUUAGAGCUGGUUAGACUUCCAAGAUAAGUGAAUUU